rnacentral:tRNA from 1 species
AAGACACUAGUAAAACCGACCAUUACACUGCUUUGUCAAGGCAGAAGUGUGGGUUAAACUCCCGCGUGUUUUA